rnacentral:lncRNA from 1 species
CAUAACUCUUGGCCCAUGCUAGACAGCCUCAAACUACCAGACGGAAAGCUUACCAACAGCUCAUUCAAGCCCAGUUCAGGAAAAAAAAAAAAAAAAGUAACACUGGAACCUGACGCAAGGAGUCAAGCACUCCGCUCUCUAUGAAACAGUGACUACCACCCAGCACAGGUUUUAAAGCGACAACCUCCCCGGUACUCUCGAUCUCACUUUUUUUUUUGCAGGAGCUGGGAUUCCCGACCAAGCUUUACACCCCUAACUCCCAGUAAGGCAAACCGAAGAACUAGCUCACAACCCUCUCAUAACACUGACAGGGCAACUUUCCUUUUUGCUGAAAAAGGCUGAAUUCCGUUCAUCGGAGCAUCCCGGUUCUCAGCCUUUACCUCAUCCACCUUGAGUCUCCCACUAGGAAUCGCAGAAAGACUAACUUGGCUUCAUAACCCUCCUCUUUCUCCCAACCCAAAGCAUCAACAACCAACGCCACCACACUAAGGCAAAACUGUCCUUUUAUCUACUCUCAUUCCAACCCGGCUUUCCUCCACCCCCUUCCAAGACCCAGGAUUGGCCUAGGAAAAGGUGGAUCAAUAAUGAAAUGACGAGAAAAAGAGAAGGGCGGGAGGGAGCCAGGGCCAGAGGCUGCAAGCUCUCAGGCGCAGUGGGUGGGGUAAGAGAGCAGCUGCUUCCCUUGGGAGGAUGCAGUCCUAGUUCCCCCACAAACAUCACCCCUCACCGGGGCCCCCUUUCUCAAGAGCUGGAGAGAAACCCUGCUCCUCUCAAGGAGAAUGCUAGAAAGUAGCUCUGCUCCAAGCCUAGGGGAACACUGGACCAUUUUCCCUCGAACACACCUCUGGUCCUUCCUCUAAAGGAGGGAAAGGGGUGGAGUUGGAGGUAAAUCCCUGACACCAGCAGCCUAGGAAACGUAGCCCUGGAAGAUGAGGAAAGAGACAACGCUGGGGAGAGCACUGUUAUCUUCGCAGGAGAGAUGAGAACGACAAGGGCCAGGAUAAGAACCUGGCUCUGGAUGAAGCCACCACCCGAGAGAUGUCCAAGGGGGAAGACUGCCCUAGGAGUAACACAUCUGCCCAGGGAAGGAGGCGGAGAUGUGGCGGGAUCAGGUCUCUGGCAGAGGGAGGGAGGAAUCUGGCUCGGAUGAGGUUGGUGCCGAUGGCGGCCGAGACCUGCAGCGCCGCGUCGAAGCCCGGGCCCACCCGGAGCAGGGCCGGCCCUGAGGAGGCUGAGGACGAUGACGAAGACGAAGACGAGGCGGACGACGAAGAGGCUGCUGAGGCGGCGGCCGCUCCCCCUGGAACCCCAGCCCCGCUGCUUCCCGCCGCCGCCGCCGCCACCGCCGGGGGGGAGGGGGGCGCCCCGGGGCCGCCACCGCCGGCCUGGGGCCCGGGGGGAAGCAGCAAGGCCGGGACGCGUUGCCGCGGGGCGCCCCCUAGGCCCCGGCGCCCCCCGCCGCCGCCGCCCCCGGUGGUCCCGGGUCGGGCGGGGAAGCGCCACCGACAGCUGUGCGCCAUGUUCGCCCCGAAAUGGGAGACGGCGCCUCCAGCGAGGCGUUAGAAGCCUGCGGGGAUGGAAAAGCCAAGGAGGGAGGGAGAGAUUGCUGCCCGAAGAAUUUGCCUUGGCUGAGGCUUAGGGAUCGAUACACUGCCUGCAGACCCGGAGCAGCCUCCAUCUCCCCCAACCCCCAGCCGAGGUGGAGUUCGCAGGAAGGUCAUGCAGCCGUCCAGGUCUCCCGCACCGGUACCCGGCGCUGCUCUAA